CUCUCUCUGACUCUCUCCAACCAAAUUAUUCAUCCUCUCAUCUAUUACCAAUUCCUUACAAAAUAUUCACCCUAAUUUUCCAGAUUCAUUUCUGAGUUUUGCUGCUUCUGUUUGCUUUUGAGAUUGUUUUCUUAUAGCCGUGAUUCUCAAUUCAUUGUUGUCAUUUUUGAUUCUUAAGAAGGGAAAUUAGGGUUUUCGAAUUCGUUGUGUUCCAGUUGCUUCACCCGUGCAAGUUUUGUGGUAUCCCCAAUAAAAGGUUUAUAUCUGUUUCGGAAGGUAAGGCUUCUUAACAAGAGGAGAUCGAUAACUCUGCACAGAAAUUCACCACCAACUCCAGCCUCUCUCUUUAGUUGAUGGGAUGAUAACUUAUGGACAAUGUAUGUUUAGUACGGCAGAAACUGGAAGAAGAAAACACUAAUUUUUCAGAGCCUUUUACAUGAGGUUAAAUCUGAACAAACAGAUCAUUUUGUUUAAUCAUCUGCUUGCACAUAUCAUCUCAUGACAUAUCAAGUUCCAGCGCCACCUAAGACUCCUUUGUCCCGAAUCCAGAAUGGUUUUCGUCUCAUGCCUGUGCAGCUAACAAUUCACCUGUGAAUACCCUGUUCUACAACCGCCACCAAUGUCGGUGGCAGGUCAACCACAUCUCCAUGCCAUGAAUUCUUGUCUUUCUAGUUGUCAAGUGGUAAACGGAGUGUCUGCAACAGGAUUCUUCACCCUAUUCGAGUAAACUCUGGCAGUAAGUACCCCGAGAAGGCAAUGUGUAGGUAUGCUGACUUAUUAGCUAAAGAGGCUAGAUUAAGUUAGCAGUGUGUUCUGGGAUCAACAUGAUCUUCCUGUAUGAUUAUAUAUAUUAAAAAAUAAAUAAAAUAAGGUUUAUUUAUCAAA